UACGGAGGGUGCGAGCGUUAAUCGGAAUUACUGGGCGUAAAGCGCACGUAGGCGGUCAGGCAAGUCGGGUGUGAAAGCCCUGGGCUCAACCUGGGAAUUGCAUUCGAAACUAUCUGACUCGAGUAUGGGAGAGGGAAGCGGAAUUUCCGGUGUAGCGGUGAAAUGCGUAGAUAUCGGAAGGAACACCAGUGGCGAAGGCGGCUUCCUGGACUAAUACUGACGCUGAGGAGCGAAAGCCAGGGGAGCAAACGGG
rnacentral:rRNA from 1 species